rnacentral:lncRNA from 1 species
UCCAUCCAUUUAAAUCUCUUACAUUGUUAAAUUCAUCGAGUCCAUAGAUUUCUAUCCACAAAACUUUUGAUUCCUCUUUCAUUUGUGAAAGCAUGCAAGUCAUGUAGUUAAUAACCGUCAAAGAUACCGUACUCCUAUAUUUAGUGGGAUGGUAGAUAUCCUUGUACAAUGAGCCAUGCCCCCUGCGUCAGUACCGUCUGAGCUGCCUCACUUAUCUACAAAAUGGACCACCCGGUAAACCAAUGGCACGUUAGUUUGAUCACAGUCAUUGGAUAAUUGAUAGUUUCUUUUCAAAUAUUAUAUCAAUCCUACAGCUCCAUACAGUCCAGAAAAUAGCAGAAAUCCCAACAAUCACAAGUUUCUUGUUAUGUGUAGGGAAGCUUUUUAUCCAGCUUCCAAAGCAUUCAUACAAAUCGACAUGAGUAGAGAUCAAAUCAAAUCACACUUCAAUUGGCUCUAGAUGAGCCUAGCUAUUGAACACUUAAAAACACUCAUCUUGACCACCGAACACACACAUCUUACUCCCAUUCCAACCCCUCUUUAUUACGUUGUACUUGGUAAGAAUAAUUUUCCUGACCACCAGCCAGAGAAAAACCUUUAUUUUAGAAGGUAUUUUAGUUUUCAACAAUUUUUUGAGGAAAUUUGACUUCAUUUUCAGUCAAUUUUUUGUCCUUCGGCAUGUUAGUUGCCCGAGAUUUGAUCGUCGGUAUCUCUAUACCUAUUUCAAUCUCGUUACCGGCAAGUCUCUUUACUCGUUCUGUAAUACAAGAUCCUGUGACUAACACUUGAGUCACAUUGCUUGCAAGGCUUAUAUGUGAUGUUGUAUUACCGAGUGGGCCCCGAGAUACCUCUCCGUCACACAAAGUGACAAAUCCCAGUCUUGAUCCAUGCUAACUCAACGGACAACUUCGGAGAUACCUGUAGAGCACCUUUAUAGUCACCCAGUAACGUUGUGACAUUUGAUACACACAAGGUAUUCCUCCGAUAUCAGUGAGUUACAUGUUCUCAUGGUCAUAGGAAUGAAUACUUGACACGCAGAAAACAAUAGCAACAGAAUGACACGAUCACAUGCUACGUUCAUAAUUUCGGUCUUGUCCAUCACAUCAUUCUCCUAAUGAUGUGAUCCAGUUAUCAAGUGACAACACUUGCAUAUGGUCAGAAAACAUUAACCAUCCUUGAUGAACUAGCUAACCAACUAGAGGCUUACUAGGGACAUUGUUUUGUCUAUAUAUCCACACAUGUAUCUUUGUUUUCAUUCAAUACAAUUAUAGACAUGGAUAAUAAACGAUUAUCUUGAAACAGGAAAUACAAUAAUAACUAUUUUAUCAUUGCCUCUAGGGCAUAUUUCCAACAAUUUUAUGAUCAAAGCAAAGGUUGUAUAAUGUGGCAUAAGUAAGUUUAAGCGGUCUAUCUUCAACCCAUCAUCUUGAAUGCCUUUCAUCCCCAAUCACUCUCUUGCAAUGUUGAUACAAGAGAUCUUUAACUAUUAGUAAGCUAGUCCGGAAAUGAGAGGCUCCGACUCUAGAUUUUAUCGUAGAAAUACAUUUAUUUUUCAGAUAUUUAUUUAUCAACACAUGUUGCCAUAAUCCAGACUCGGUUUCAAGCUUCCAAGACCACUGGUAUAGCAGAGAUUUAUUCAUGCACUCUAAAUGUAAAAUGCACAACCACCCUUUAUCUUUAGAUUUACAUCAUGUUUUGCAAUGACUAAAUGAUACCAUUGUCUUCAUCACCUAGACAAACUAAUCCGGUAUGAAGAAAUCAGCUAAUUUCUAACACCAAUAUGCCGGAAUUGGGUAUAAAGGCAUCAAAUACUAGGGCAUAUUAGUCUAACGAACCAGAACCAGAGUGACUCCCGCAAUAUUGAGUAGUUUCCCCUGCCAACAUCCGACUUUAAAAAAAUUAUGUUCCAGCCCCUUCCAACAUCUACUUCCAAAUACGUUGAAAACAAAGAUGCACAAAUAUUUCAAAGGUAGAAUGCCCAAAAUAUAAGUAAAUAUCUAUUGGUACAUGUUAGAUUUAUUAAUGACAUCUCCAAAUAAGAAAAGUUCACUUUGAUGAAAUUUCAUACUUAGCAGGACAUUUGUCCAAAUGCACACAAAAAGAACUUUACAUUUGUAACACUAUUCAUCAUAUUGCAGAAAAAAUGUAUCAUUGACAUAUUGGAGCAUAUUAACUCCAUGAUUCAAAAUCCCUCCUUGAACUCAUUUCACAAUUCCGUUAUGCCUAGCUUUGUGUAUAAUAAUGGUCAAAUCAUUAUCAGCCAGCUCAAACAAAAGGGAUGAUAGAGCGUCUCCUUGUCUCAACCCUUUAUGAUAGUACACAAGAUUCAAUGACACCACUUGCCAGAGAACCCCUUCAACUUGAGAAUAUGAUGGACAAAGGUCCGUUUUAUUUUAUCAUAUGCCUUCUUGAAAUCCAUCUUAAACAAAAGAUCAUUCUAUAUAUUGUGGUGGAUAGAAUUCAAGGCGCAAGGGGGACCAUAACCCUUUUUUUGAUAUAUACUCCUUUAAUAAAGACAGUUCAGGUAUUAUAAAUAAUCGGAUCUACCAAUCUACUCAAUAUGUCCAUCAAAACUUUUGUGAUGAUAUAUUAGGCAUGUGCAUAUUUCGUGUAGUUUUUACAAGUUUGUGGUUGUCCGUGGAGUUACCAAUAUAACGGGGACAUGGAAAAUUGAAAUUUAGUAAUAAGUUGUAUAAUCUUUGGAACCUACGCAACUUGCUUCUUACUUGCCUUCUAAUGUCCGAUAAGGAUACUCAUAGUGGGGAGUAUCAUAUAGUAGUAUCAUGCAUAUGAUACUAUUGUAUGAUACUACCUUCAUAUUGUAUAGUAUCAUAUGUGAUUUUAUUUAUUGACAUGCAUGACACAUAGUAGCAUAGCAUUUAACAUCAUACAGUAUCUAUCUAUGUUACUCUAACCCUCUCUCUUUUAUUUAAUUAUUUGCCACAACACCAUAUUUGCUAGUCCCAAGUGCAUGAUACAGGGCCGGGCCGACAAAUUUCGGGGCCCUGAGCCAAACUCCAAAAUGAGGCCUAUUUCACUGGAAAGAUCAAACUAUAAUCAACUUAUCUAUAACUCCUUUAUGAUAUCGAAUUAAAUCCUCAAAUUUUAAUUUUCUUUUUUAUGUAUCCUAACCAUUGUUGAGGAAAUCGUUAACGGGUAGCUGCUCGGUUGACUGGCUGGUAGGGGAUUAAUAGGCUAAUCGGCAAGUUAAUCGACCAUUUAAUGAGUUAAUCGGGCGAUUUAUUAAUUAAUCGGCUACUCGGUGACCUAACGAGCAGGGAUUAAUUAGAAAGUUAACUGGUUAAUCGGACGAAUUCUUGAAUAAGGAUCCUAACUAUAUUCAUAACUUGGAUCUUUAGAGGACAUAACUUGGAUCUUGGAACACAAGUCUGGACCAAUUAAUAUAAAAGUAUUUAAAUGAUAAAAAUAACGAAACUAAAGGUAUACACAUCAUUAGUAGGAAAUUAUUUGUAGAAAUAAGACUGCCGAACUCACAGACGUCAAAUUUGGCCUUGUCGAAAUGUCCUGGACAAGGCGUUAGAGACUGAUGGAGAAGCGAGACGCCAUCACAACGGGAUCGAUCACACGUUCACGUGGACAAAGAUAGCGUACACCCUUGAUUAGUAUUAUUUGGAUUGGAAAAUGAAAGUGGCAACGAGCGAGCUAGCACCUGUUCAGUACGUUGAUGGGCUUUUGAUUAGUUGAUUUAGAGAUUGAUUGGAUUAAGUCGAUCUUGCACUUCGCCGGAACACGGCUGUUGUUGAUGUUGUACAUCGCUGCGUUGAGGGCACUGUCGAUGGUGGCGGCCGCCGGUCCUCUGCUGCCUCCUCGGCCUGCAGUUGCCGGCCAUCUGCUGCCCUAUUAGGGUUAGGCUGUAGAUCGGGAUUACCGCUCUUGCGUUCAUGUCUUUUUUGUGUGUAAAAGUCAUGCGGUCCUAUUUGAACCUUUCGGUUUGCUGGCUGCGUCUGUCAUUAACUAAUUACUGAUGUAUACUUCUGUUAAAAAGAAAGUUAUCUAU